GAUGAACGCUGGCGGCAUGCCUAAGACAUGCAAGUCGAACGAGGGAACCUGAAGAGUCUUUUAUUAAAUUGCGGAGCUUGCUCCAAGAUUUGAUUUUUGACAAUUUAGAUCCUUCCCUAGUGGCAAACGGGUGAGUAACACGUGGGUUAUCUGCCCUUAAGUUGGGAAUAACAGUUGGAAACGACUGCUAAUACCGAAUGUGCUCUACGGAGUAAAGGAGCUCUAAAGCUUCGCUUAAGGAUGAGCCUGCGGCGUAUUAGCUAGUUGGUGGGGUAAUGGCCUACCAAGGCGACGAUGCGUAGCCGAACUGAGAGGUUGAACGGCCACACUGGGACUGAGACACGGCCCAGACUCCUACGGGAGGCAGCAGUUAGGAAUAUUCGUCAAUGGGGGAAACCCUGAACGAGCAAUGCCGCGUGAACGAUGAAGGCCCUUUGGGUUGUAAAGUUCUGUUGUUUGGAAAGAAUUAUCAGUUUAGGAAAUGAAACUGAUUUGACGGUACCAUUCAAGAAAGCCACGGCUAAUUACGUGCCAGCAGCCGCGGUAAUACGUAAGUGGCGAGCGUUAUCCGGAUUUAUUGGGCGUAAAGGGUGCGCAGGCGGUUUAUAAGGUCUAAAAUCAAAUCUUGAGGCUUAACCUCAUGUCGUUUUAGAAACCGAUAGACUUGAGUAUGGUAGAGGCAAAUGGAAUUCCUAGUGUAGCGGUGGAAUGCGUAGAUAUUAGGAGGAACACCAGUGGCGAAGGCGGUUUGCUGGACCAUUACUGACGCUCAUGCACGAAAGCGUGGGGAGCAAAUAGGAUUAGAUACCCUAGUAGUCCACGCCGUAAACGAUGAGUACUAAGUGUCGGGUUACCGGUGCUGAAGUUAACACAUUAAGUACUCCGCCUGAGUAGUACGGUCGCAAGGCUGAAACUUAAAGGAAUUGACGGGCACCCGCACAAGCGGUGGAGCAUGCUGUUUAAUUCGAUACUACGCGAAAAACCUUACCUAGACUUGACAUCCCCGGCAAAACUAUAGAAAUAUAGCGGAGGUUAUCCGGGUGACAGGUGGUGCAUGGUUGUCGUCAGCUCGUGUCGUGAGAUGUUUGGUUAAGUCCAAUAACGAGCGCAACCCUCGUCUUUAGUUGCUAACAUUUAGUUGAGAACUUUAAAGAGACUGCCAGUGCAAACUGGAGGAAGGUGGGGAUGACGUCAAAUCAUCAUGCCCCUUACGUCUAGGGCUACAGGCGUGCUACAAUGGCCGAUACAACGAGUUGCAACAUAGCAAUAUGAAGCUAAUCUCUGAAAGUCGGUCUCAGUCCGGAUUGGAGUCUGCAAUUCGACUCCAUGAAGUUGGAAUCGCUAGUAAUCCCGAAUCAGAAUGUCGGGGUGAAUACGUUCCCGGGUGUUGUACACACCGCCCGUCACGCCACGGGAAUCGGUAAUGCCUAAAGUCGGUAGCCUAACCUUUUAGGAGGGGGCCGGCCAGGGCAGGAUCGGUGACUGGGGUGAAGUCGUAACAAGGUAUCCCUACGAGAACGUGGGGAUGGAUCACCUCCUUUCU
rnacentral:rRNA from 1 species